AGUAAUUAAAACUUUUGACACCUCAACAUAUUGGGCUUUGUUUUCUCUGGUCCAUCAAGGGAUCUCCUUCUUCUUUGUGCUGCUUGAAGAAAACUCGAAGACCUUACGAUCUCUCUUCCGCUUCCUCGGCAAAGUAACGUUCCGGCGUUAUGUCAAUCACUGAAGAAAACCCACUAAAGCCACGAUUUCCUCUUCAUUGCAACUUUUUGGAUUGCCUCAGUUUCACUCUAUAUAUCCUUUUGUUCUCUAGCUUCUCCUCUUUACCAAAAUUACAAAAAUCAAAGAAUCUUAGCAAGCUUCUACAGUCCAAGCUGCGAGAUUACCUUACGAACAAUGGUCGCAAAGUUGAUUCCGUACAGUUCAAAGGUUCAUUCUGCAGAUCAAAUGAUCAUAUGGAUGACGCAGCAUCGAGCACUGAAACUUCACAUGUACUCGCUCCAUCUCUCUCUUCUCUCUGGUCUCAUGGCGAUUAUGAUUCUGUUUUUAUUUAACUCCAAGAGAACGUGUUGAGAUUCAUAAAAAGUCGUACGAGGCAGAUGGGACUUUUGGCUCACCAGAUCAUUCUCUUAGCCAACUGCAAAAAGUUAUGGACACUACAACCGACAAUGGAACUAGGGGUCUCAAUAUAUAUAUAUGUGUGUGUACAUCCUUUUGAUAUGGACAUGGCUAGGUUAUAACCAAUAUAUAAGCUUCUGAAGUUGUGCAAAUUUCAGUAGACUCAUCUUUAAUCCAAUUAGUAUUAUAUAGUAAUUUGCUUUCUAUUUUUAGUUUUCUAAGAUACUGUGUGUUUGAUUGCAGGGCAGGGGGUUGGUGUCAAUGCUCAUGUGGAUAAUGAACUGCCCCAGUUUGUUGCUGACAUUGUUGGGAAGACCUUCACUUUUCAGCUCAUGCUAUGAGCGUUCAACUUCACUUCCAAGCAUCAAACCUUCACCAUCUCCCGUUCUUUUACUGAGUGUCAGCAUGCACCACUCCCAGACUUUUUGGCGAUGGAGCUCAACAUGGUCCUGAUGAUCGGAUUCCUGUCCAGAAUCCAAUAGCUUCUAAGGUCUCUGAUGGUACCAGUAGAACUGUUGUUGAGCAGACUGAUGGUGUGGCAGCAACACUUGUGAAAAUACAAAUGUCAACCAUCAAACUUCCUCAUCUGUUGUACCAGAAAGAGGGGGUUCAGCAUCUAACAAUCAGACUGUUGGCUCAAAGAAUGGAAAGAAGGCACGGUUGGAUUAGAUCCAACUAGAAAACACAAAUCACCAUUACAUUUCCUUAUGUUUAUAUGUCGUCAUUUUCGUUUGGUUAUGCACUGUAACUUAGAACUUUAUCUAUUUUUUAACUAAACUCAACAUGGCGGCGGCGGUGUUUAACCUAUCAAUGAAAGUUUUUUCAGUA